GGGCGCCAUGGCGGGCUCUGUGUCCGCUGAAGUUCCCUCUGACCUGGGCCUACUCUGCCUGUUCUUUGUUUGGAAAUAGGGUCUCACCGUCCCACUCAGCCAGGCCUUAAGCUCCUAGGACCCAGCCUCCUCCUGCCCUAGCCUCCUGGGGAGCUGGGUUGUGUCUUUUGUGUUUGGAGACAGUUUUUUUUUUUUUUUUUGUGGUUUCGCUCUGUGUAGCCCUGGCUGUUCUGGGCCUCACUCUGUAGACCAGGCUGGCCUUGAACUCACAGAGAUCUGCCCCCCAAGCGCUGGGAUUAAAGGUGUGCACUACCUGACAUGCAUAAUUUUUGUGAGGCAACAACCUGUGGUAUAUUCUGUAGAAGGCCCAGGGCCCCGGUGCGGAGAGAUCCUUUUGUCUCCUUGGCAGCCGGACUAUGGAUUUGUGGGACACUCGGUCCCAUGAUCUCAUCUCCGUGGCCCAUUUCAUAGUAUUAGCAUAUGGCCUGUUUGUUGUACAUGAAGGGACCAUCUCUAAAUAGACAAACAAAUAAACACCAUACUUGGAUAAAGAAGCAAAAUCGGGGUUGGGGAUUUAGCUCAGCGGUAGAGCGCUUGCCUAGCGAGCGCAAGGCCCUGGGUUCGGUCCCCAGCUCCGAAAAAAAGAACCAAAAAAAAAAAAAAAAA
rnacentral:lncRNA from 1 species